rnacentral:rRNA from 1 species
GUAGGGGGCGAGCGUUGUCCGGAUUUAUUGGGCGUAAAGAGCUCGUAGGCGGUUUGGCAAGUCGGGUGUGAAAACUCCGGGCUCAACUCGGAGACGCCACUCGAUACUGCCAUGACUCGAGUCCGGUAGGGGAGUGCGGAAUUCCUGGUGUAGCGGUGAAAUGCGCAGAUAUCAGGAGGAACACCGGUGGCGAAGGCGGCACUCUGGGCCGGUACUGACGCUGAGGAGCGAAAGCGUGGGGAGCGAACAGGAUUAGAUGCCCUGGUAGUCCACGCCGUAAACGUUGGGCACUAGGUGUGGGGCUCGAUCGACGGGCUCCGUGCCGUAGCUAACGCAUUAAGUGCCCCGCCUGGGAAGUACGGCCGCAAGGCUR